GUGUUAGAUAAGUUGCUAGCCUGGCAGAAGCUAUAUGAUGAAGUGAAGGCAAGUGAGCUUAUGAAAUUUGAAUACCAGAAGAAGGUUGCUUCACUGAAUAGGCAUAAGAAACAAGGUACCAACUCUGAAGCAUUGGAGAAAGCAAAGGCUGCAUUGAGUCAUCUUCAUACAAGAUACAUUGUUGACAUGCAAUCCUUGGAUUCAACAGAUGAGUUGGAAUAAUAUGAGUUGGAACAACAUAAGUAGAAGAGGGGACCAAAUGAGAUGGAACAAGAUGGGAUGGAAGAUAAACCUCAAAACUAUCUCAUUGCGGAAGAGCAGUUUGCGAUAGAUGUUUUGAAGUAGAGGUUGGAAGAGGAGGAGGAUUGUCAGAGUUUGCGCGUUCAUGUUCAAAAAUGUAUAGAAGCUUGCAGUCCAUAUCACAUCCUCAGAAUUAAAGUCAAGAUCUCAUCAUGAGAAUGUUUUAUAAGCCUUGUAUAAUUUUGUCAUUUGUAUUAGUAAUGUGUUACAUUACAAUUCUUGCAAUAUUUAUUUGGGAUGAGCUCUGAGAAUCAUAUAUGGUUUUGUUACAUCAAAUUGAGUUUUGACAUAAUAUUAUUAGUUCCUUGCCAACCAAAAGAAUUAUUAUAUGUUCUUUUACUUUAUUUAUAAAGGUAACACCGUGGUACCACUCUUUA